rnacentral:rRNA from 1 species
CCUUGGCCAUAGCCAUACCUCAUUACAGUUCUCACCUGGUUUCACACUGAAUCUAAGCAGGGUUAAGCCUGGCCAGUACCUGGAUGGGAGACUUCCUGGGGAAAACUAAGGUUGCUGCAAGAA